rnacentral:rRNA from 1 species
UAUGGACCCACCUGAUCCCAUGCCGAACUCAGUAGUGAAACGUAAUAGCGCCGAUGGUAGUGUGGGGUCUCCCCAUGUGAGAGUAGGACAUCGCCAGGC